rnacentral:rRNA from 1 species
GACAGAGGGUGCAAACGUUGUUCGGAAUCACUGGGCGUAAAGCGCGUGUAGGCGGCACGGCAAGUCGGGUGUGAAAUCCCACGGCUCAACCGUGGAAGUGCACUCGAAACUGCAGGGCUAGAGUCCUGGAGAGGAAGGUGGAAUGCUUGGUGUAGAGGUGAAAUUCGUAGAUAUCAAGCGGAACACCGGUGGCGAAGGCGGCUCACUGGACGAUUGUUGACGCUGAGGUGCGAAAGCGUGGGGAGCAAACAGG